rnacentral:rRNA from 1 species
CCUACGGGCGGCAGCAGUGAGGAAUAUUGGUCAAUGGCCGGAAGGCUGAACCAGCCAAGCCGCGUGAAGGACGAAGGUGCCAAGCAUUGUAAACUUCUUUUGUCAGGGGACAAAAUCAGGCACGAGAGCCUGACUGAGGGUACCUGAAGAAAAAGCAUCGGCUAACUCCGUGCCAGCAGCCGCGGUAAUACGGAGGAUCCGAGCGUUAUCCGGAUUUAUUGGGUUUAAAGGGUGCGUAGGCGGCCUGUUAAGCCCGCGGUGAAAGGCUGUGGCUCAACCAUAGAAUUGCCGUUGAAACUGGGGGGCUUGAGUUUGUUUGAGGCAGGCGGAAUGCGUGGUGUAGCGGUGAAAUGCUUAGAUAUCACGCAGAACCCCGAUUGCGAAGGCAGCCUACCGAGCCAUGACUGACGCUGAUGCACGAAAGCGUGGGUAUCGAACAGGAUUAGAUACCCGGGUAGUC